GCCUCAACGGUCUAGUGGUAUGAUUCGCGCUUCGGGUGUGCGAGGUCCUGGGCUCGAAUCCCAGUUGAGGCC
rnacentral:tRNA from 1 species